rnacentral:lncRNA from 1 species
UGACCCCGUGUCUCCCUGGACUAUCGCGCAGCACCCUCCUGGAGGACGGGACUUUGGUCUGGUUAUUCCCCGCUGCUGUGACAGCGCCCAUGACAGCAGCUGGUCCCCACUAGCACCCAGGAAGUAUUUAUCCAAUGACUCAAUGAAUCUGCCGCCGGAUCGCCCGGGACUGCUUUCACUUUCUGUCAGUCCAGAAGUGGAGACCACUCCCCCGGCCCUUGCAUCUGGGCUUCCUUGUGCCCUGCCUUGGACAGUUGGCUGCAGUGGAAGUGACGCUGUGACUGCCCUGUGCCCAAGCUUAAGAGGCCUUGCCUGCAUCUGCUCCAUCUUAUGGGACCCUGCCUGGUGAAGGACCCAAGGCUGG